rnacentral:rRNA from 1 species
ACGGAAGGCAGCAGUGGGGAAUAUUGCACAAUGGGGGAAACCCUGAUGCAGCGACGCCGCGUGAGUGAAGAAGUAUUUCGGUAUGUAAAGCUCUAUCAGCAAGGAAGAAAAUGACGGUACUUGACUAAGAAGCCCCGGCUAACUACGUGCCAGCAGCCGCGGUAAUACGUAGGGGGCAAGCGUUAUCCGGAUUUACUGGGUGUAAAGGGAGCGUAGACGGUAAUGCAAGUCAGAAGUGAAAGCCCAAGGCUCAACCAUGGGACUGCUUUUGAAACUGUAAUACUAGAGUGCGGGAGAGGUAAGUGGAAUUCCUAGUGUAGCGGUGAAAUGCGUAGAUAUUAGGAGGAACACCAGUGGCGAAGGCGGCUUACUGGACUGUAACUGACGUUGAGGCUCGAAAGCGUGGGGAGCAAACAGGAUUAGAUACCCUGGUA